rnacentral:rRNA from 1 species
UACGGAGGGUGCAAGCGUUAUCCGGAUUCACUGGGUUUAAAGGGUGCGUAGGCGGGUAAGUAAGUCCGUGGUGAAAUCUCUGAGCUUAACUCAGAAACUGCCGUGGAUACUAUUUGCCUUGAAUAUUGUGGAGGUGAGCGGAAUAUGUCAUGUAGCGGUGAAAUGCUUAGAUAUGACAUAGAACACCAAUUGCGAAGGCAGCUCGCUACACAUAUAUUGACUCUGAGGCACGAAAGCGUGGGGAUCAAACAGG